UACAACAUAGUGUUAAUGCAUCGGAUCCCAUUAGAACUCCGCAGUUAAGUGUGCUCAUGCUAGAGUAUCAAUGGGAUGGGUGACCGUUUGGGAAGUCAUAGUGUUUUAC
rnacentral:rRNA from 1 species